CAACUCUCCGCACUGUUUCGUUUCCACAGAAAUAUCGUCCGCUUCGAACCAGCUUGGUUGGGCUGGUUGGGGGCAGCCAUGGGAUGCACGGCUUCGGUCUUCGGGAUUUGGGGCCGUCGAUUUCCAUUUGGGCUGGCGCCUUGCGAAUCUCACCGUUCGUUUGGUCUUCAUCGCAUCUCAUCUGUUCAUUCGUUGGUUCAACCAUCUUUCAUCCUCUGUCCAACGUUCGUCUGAGAGAUUUUCGAACUGCGAGUUCUUCUAUUGCUGAUGGGUUUCUGAGCAUACUGUUGAAUCCUCAAUUCCUUGCCCAAAUUUAUUCCAUAGUUUUUAUUCUUUGAGUUUAGUAUUGAUGCUGCAUUUUUGGUGGUGUAGGGUUAUGAGAGAGAAUUUUCAAAUCUUUGAUGACAAUGACAAUGCAGAGAUAGUUGUUUUGUGAUUUUGAUUGCUUAGAGGGUGACUUUUGCAUAGGAAUUAUUGAAGGAUGUGUCGAUUUGGGAGAGAAGAAUUAUAAGUGCAUUUACUGUGGUGCACUUUUUGGUUAAAAGAAUCCAUUCAGCAGGAUCUCCUAAAUACUUGGAGAAGACUGAGAAUUCCACAAAGCAUCGCAACUCUAACGACACUUGGCUGCUCACUUUAAAGAACAGUUUGUGGGUAUGGAAGUACUCUCAUACAGUUCUACACCAUGCUAUGAUACUUUUAAUUUAAGGUGGAAAUUGAUUGUGAAAAGCUCAAGUUCACAUCAAUUCAAUCUCCUAGGUUUUAGAAAAAACAAAGUUUUUGGUGCAAUUUGAUGUUAGAAAGAAGUUUUUGAGCUGUUACAAUUUAGAUCAGCCUUUCUUGAAGCAACUAAAUCACCAAGGAGGUUUUAGGUCAUUAGACACCGGUGAAAACUUCAAACAUGUUGGUCCAAUUUUAUCAAGUGGAAGCUCUGAUGGCUACGUAAUUAAAGGGGAAGAGAAUGAAAGUAUUUCGGAAACAGGGGAACCAGUAACUAAAGUUUUGAUUCCUGGUCUACCAGAUGAAUCCAAAGGUGAAUCAGGUGCGCCAGUAAAUAGUUGCUUUUGGGAAUGGAAGCCCGAAUUCAGUGUGCAUUAUGAGAAAGCUGGAUGUGAAACCUUAGGCUCCCUUCCAGUGCUGUUUUUGCCUAGUUUUGGGGUUGGUUCCUUUCACUAUGAGAAGCAACUGAAGGAGUUGGGGCUUGAUUUUUGAGUACGGGCUAAGCAGCUGAAUGGAUGAUUGGUGUAUACUAUGGUACUCCACAAGCGACAUUUGGAGGAAUUGCAUUAAAAUUCUUUGCCUCAGUUCGGCUUGAAAUACGUUCUACAGGGAAGAUAAAGUCUGUAAAUGGAGAGGAAGUAAUUGGAGUUCGGGUUCAUGUAAGAGUGCAAAAGAGCAAGGUAAUUUUGAAUGCAUCAAAAUGGAUUCUGUAUCUAUGAGGGUUGUACACCAUGUACAGAAAUAACAUUUCUAUUACUUUUGCCUUUAUGAUUACUUGAGCAGUAAUUGCACUUUCAAUAUAAAUUUCAUAACUGGUAUGAAGUAUGACAAGUUGUCUUGCCAAUUCUUAAAGGUUAUGUCUAAUUUCUCAAAGUUUUUUGUCCCAAUUCUACACUUUGCUAUAAGUGCAGCCUGUGACCAUGAAAACAAUUGUAACAAUCGACAAAUUGUUAAAUUCCCCUUUGAUUUUUCUGAUAUUAUGAAACUGCUUCCAUCCUUUUUGAAGGCUAAUGAUUUUGUUAUGAUAUUUGCUUAUGCUUUUGGACGAGAGACUUUUGUCGAUUGCAAUCUUCUGAUUCCCAGAUUUUGCCAAACCUUUAGUAAAACUUAAUGAUUGCAGUUAAUUAUAUCUCUUAUUUAAUGUGUUUCAUCCACUUUGUUAUGUUUCUAUUUUGAAAGAUGCUUAUCCUAUAUUUUUGUUGUUGUGUGGAUUUUCAAUUUUUGUAAGAUGUUAACCGUGUACGAGAGAGUCAAGAAGAGGCGGUGAGUAGAAGGAGGUUCUUCGCAGGCUAGACAAGGUUGAAAAUGGUUUUUUUUUUCUCUCCCUAUUUUCCUUCAAAACUUUUUGUUCACUUAUUCUCCUUGAAUUUUAUGUUCAAAGUAGUUAAAUUUUCGUCCAAAAUGUUUUAUUUGUGUUUCUUGAUUUGAAUGAAAGUUUGGUAUUUCAUCCUUCUUUUGGGGUUUCUUUCAUUUCAUACUGUCUUCGUAUUUUCCUUUUCCUUUUCCUUUUCCUUUUGGGUUUAUUAAAAUAUUGAUCAUAUUUUAAUAAACAUGACAAGCAACAUAUAAAACAUGUUAUUAGUCUUUAUUUUGUAACUUAAACUUGCUACAUAUUUUCACAACUUUGUAGACAUUUUAGACGAUUUUAAAACCGCAGCAUCACACGGAGACCUUUGCUAGUAAAUUACUAUGGUACUAAAAGAACAGCUGAAGCACUUAUUCCACUCCUCCAGUUAUCCGAUUCACCAAGAAUUGUUAACGUUUCUUCCUCCGCGGGGAAGUUAGUGAACAUACCAAGUGAUUGGGUCAAAGGCAUUUUUAAUUAGUGAUUCCGAUUACCUAACAGAAGAGAGAGUAGAUGAGGUAUUGACACAGCUACUAAAAGACUUCAAGGAGGGUUUUAUUGAAAGCAAGGGCUGGCCUGUUUUUCCUGCAUAUACAAGGAUUCUAGCCAAGAAAUACCCCAACUUCCGCAUCAAUUCUGUCAGCCCCGACUAUGUCAAGACAGAUAUAAACUUCAAUACCGGCAUCUUGUCCGUUGUAGAAAGUGCUGCAAGUGUUCUGAAGUUAGCAUUGCUGCCCUUCUGGCCUCUUCUUUGUUGGGUCUCAAGUAUCAUGUGCAUGAUUGAAGAUGAUCAAUUUGUUUCAAUGUAACAAAGUAUAUUGUUAAAAUUUAUGUACAUCAGUGAUGUGACAAGUUUGUUUGUUAACUAAAAUGCAUGCAUGCUCAUUAAUUUCUA